GGUGGCUUAGUGGUAGAGCGUUUGUCUUGCAUGCAUGAGGCCCUGGGUUCGAUUCCUCAGCACCA
rfam:Dipodomys ordii contig_71414, whole genome shotgun sequence.